rnacentral:lncRNA from 1 species
GCGCGCGCGCGUAAACACAUCGAUAGCCACUUCCAAGUUCGUGAUUACACGCACACGAGUCCCGCGCACCGCUGGACCUAUUUUCCUUGUGUGCAUAACACAAACAUGAAAACGACGUGAAAAGCAUGAGCAAACUACUGCCUCGUAAGCCACUGCUGCUUUCAAACUAUACAAAACUCGUAUUCUCCGAAGUAUCGAUGUCCUUUUUGCUCUUCAUCUUUCUCCCUUCCUCUACCUGCUGCUUGCACAGAAACGCAUUAAACCAACUGCAAACUUGGAAGAAGGACGAAACGGAAUGCCAGAGAGGAGAGAGAGAGAGAUCGAUCUAUCUUUGCCCCGUAUAAUAGAAGGAAUGGAGCGAUGGGUGGAGGUGGAAAUCUUGACGAAUCUCAUCCGGUCUCAACGGUUCGAUAAAGUGUCUCCAGUAUCGUCUCGUUUUGGCACAAUAAAUCAUUUUAUCUUCGCUCAACAUGUGUUGGCUAUCCGGGCAGCGAGGGCAUUAAUUAUGAGGGCUAUUCGUGGUGAGCCGAUGCGAUCACAAACGCCUGCUCUCUCAAUGAUAUUCAAGUAUGGAUCACACGACAGCAACUGAGAAUUCCGCGAGACGCAAACACGGAUUAGUAUUCGAAAUACGAAAAGAUCUCGAAGGCCGUCCGGGUAUUCUAGUGUGGGAUACGCACGAGAGACACGAGAACGCACGGAGCGAACGAUUCUCGCGGCUUACGAGAUAUAUUGCUGGAGAUAUAUACGUUCUAGCGGAAAAAUAAGCCGAAUCGAGUUUCUCGUGGCCACGCUGCGCGGAGAGCGAACGACUUUGGGGAUACGGAGAAAGUGAAACCGACACGUCGCAGCCAUUUUGUUUCGGAUAAGAUUGUUGAUCCGCUGAUAAGUUGAAUUCUAUCGUUACUCGGUUUCCUGGAUUCAUUGAAAAAGUCACAAUUGCCUCAGCGUUCCGGCUACUUCGUUCAUUGUUGUUGCGCAAAGUUGUAAAGCGAUACUCCGAUCGCGGGCGUGACGCACCAGUAUGAGUCGGCGAAUUACGCCUCGAAGGAUUGUCUUCCGGUAAAGAGCGAAAUGAACGUAGCUCGGGGAAUGAUGAGACUAACGAGAAAAAAUAAGUGUGGAAUAGUAAACAAAAAGACUGGCUAAACUCGCCGACGGCAGUGGUCGGAAAGGUGGAGAGAAGGCGGACGUCCGAAAAACAGGCUGAACGUGUGGCGCCAUUUCGCUUCCUUUUUUUUCCACUCGCAUCUUCGGCUCUCUGUUCUUACAUUAUCCUUAUUACUUAUCUCGAGCCCCCAGUAUUUCGUGUUGGGCGAGUCGGUCAUUAAAGUUAACGGGACCGCAGCGAGUCGUUCUCGUCAGAUAAAACAUUUGCGUCGGGUGGAAGAGAUGCGCGAAAGGAAACAAAACGAUGGUGAAUGAAAACACGACGCUUCACAUUUUAUUCGCGAGUUUGAUGAUUAAAUAUGAGACAGCAAUGAUGCUCGGACAUUUAAUCCAGUGGAAGAGCGUUAUUCGAGUCACUCGAAGGAUGGACCCUGGAAGAUUCACAGACAAGUUGUGAGAGGAGCAAAACGUCGGGGGGGGCGGAGGAGACGGACGGAAAGCGGUGGGCAAAUGAGGUGCGGGAAUAACUCCGAGUCUCGCAGCACGACAACGCACUCUACGAAACAACACUCGCCAUUUACGAAAUACCGAAGAAUCUUCCAAAGAAAUCUAAUGAAAUGGACUGAGAGUUGUGCUGAAACGUGAGCAGUUUGCACACGCAGAACAAACUCCGAGGCAGAGUGGAAAGGAGAACGAUGUAGCAGGGAUGAUGGUAAUUCAGAAAGCUCGGUGGACAAAGAUGCCAAGAAGAUGCAUCGAGCGGUCCGAUACGCAAUGAAGGAAGAGCAGCUUCUUCAGCACCCCAGGGGUCGCACUUCGCUUGCUUUUGUUUCUUCACCCAUACUAAUUUGAGCGGUGAGGCCCAUUCUGGGAUCCCCUUCAACGGUGUGCUCGAUCCACCAGUCAGCUCCAGAAGCGGCAGUCUUCUUUCGGCUCCACCCGAGUACUACACGGAACGGGCCCUUACAUGCUUCCACCGCGGUUACGUGCGUCCUCUCUCUCUCUCUCUUUCUCUCUCUCUUUCUAUCUUUUUCUCAUUCGCCCUCUAUUUCGGCGUCUCGCUUCUCUUUCUCUCCUGGUCCAAGAGGUAGAGGCGAGAGGGACUCGUGCUGACCACGCAAUGGACGUACUGAAACGCGGGCACAA